UACGGAGGAUCCGAGCGUUAUCCGGAUUUAUUGGGUUUAAAGGGUGCGUAGGUUGUUUGAUAAGUCAGCGGUGAAAUUUUGCAGCUCAACUGUAAAACUGCCGUUGAAACUGUCUGACUAGAGUCUUGUAGAGGGGGGUAGAAUUCCAGGUGUAGCGGUGAAAUGCGUAGAUAUUAGGAGGAACACCAGUGGCGAAGGCGGCCAACUGGGCUUUUACUGACGCUGAGGCUCGAAAGCGUGGGGAGCAAAC
rnacentral:rRNA from 1 species